rnacentral:misc_RNA from 1 species
GGAAUAUCCAUGGGUGGUUUCCAUCUUGGAAAUGUUGUGGGUUUGGUGCUAACCCCAUUGUUUAUGACCUCAAUUGGAAUAUCUGGUCCGUUCAUCCUUUUCGCUUCUCUUGGACUUCUCUGGCUUACAACAUGGGUUAGCCGGGUAACAAAUGAUCCACAAGAAAGCAAUUCUAUCACUAAAGCAGAGUUGAGGUUAAUCCAAGCAGGGAAAUCAGAUUCUCCUUCCUCAAAAAAAGGAGAACUUCCACCACUGCGACUGCUGUUGUCAAAAAUGCCCACUUGGGCUAUUAUCUUCGCUAAUGUCACUAAUAAUUGGGGAUAUUUUGUUCUUCUCUCAUGGAUGCCAGUUUACUUCAAGACUGUGUUUAAUGUGAACUUGAAACAAGCAGCAUGGUUUAGCGCCAUUCCAUGGGGAACAAUGGCAGUUUCUGGCUACUUUGCGGGCACUACGUCUGAUGCUCUAAUCAAAUCAGGAUACCCUGUGACAUUAGUCCGGAAGAUAAUGCAGUCAAUGGGCUUCAUUGGACCUGGAUUAGCAUUACUUUGUUUGAAUUUUGCGACGACGCCAACAGUUGCUGCAGUUUUGAUGACAGUAGCAUUGAGCUUGAGCUCAUUCAGCCAAGCCGGCUUUCUCCUCAAUAUGCAGGACAUAGCGCCUCAACACGCAGGCUUUCUCCAUGGAAUCUCAAACUCAGCAGGGACAUUAGCAGCAAUUGUGAGCACAGUCGGAACAGGCUAUUUUGUACAGUGGCUUGGCUCAUUCCAAGCAUUCUUGACAGUUACAGCAAUAAUUUACUUCAUGGCAGCUAUUUUCUGGAAUCUGUUUGCUACAGGGGAGCAAGUCUUUUAGGCUCAUAUGGUUCAGAAUUCAGAAGGCCCCUUCAAUUCAAAGUGAACCAUAUUUUUAGCUGCUGAAACCUGG